GACGAACGCUGGCGGCGUGCCUAAUACAUGCAAGUCGAGCGGGGAUUAUGCUUGAUCGCUUCGGUGAGACGGCAUAUAUCCUAGCGGCGGACGGGUGAGUAACGCGUAGGUAUCUGUCCAUGGGUGGGGGAUAACAGCGGGAAACUGCUGCUAAUACCGCAUGACACCUGAGGGUCAAAGGCGCAAGUCGCCUGUGGAGGAGCCUGCGUCCGAUUAGCUUGUUGGUGGGGUAACGGCCUACCAAGGCGAUGAUCGGUAGCUGGUCUGAGAGGAUGAUCAGCCACACUGGGACUGAGACACGGCCCAGACUCCUACGGGAGGCAGCAGUGGGGAAUAUUGGACAAUGGGCGCAAGCCUGAUCCAGCAAUGCCGCGUGGAUGAAGAAGGUCUUCGGAUUGUAAAGUCCUUUCGGCGGGACGAUGAUGACGGUACCCGCAGAAGAAGCCCCGGCUAACUUCGUGCCAGCAGCCGCGGUAAACA
rnacentral:rRNA from 1 species